CAAUAAAAAAUCCAUUCAUUUUCUUCUAUUGUCAAAACUUGUUCACUAUUUCAUUAGCUUUGUAAAAUUUUCUUUUUUUUAAAGAAAUUAUGUUAAUCCAAAUUAUACUUAAAGUCCAAGAAGCUAUUCACAGCAUUUUCAUGGGCCAAGCCUUGACUUAUUCCAGCCAAUGUUGUGUGCCAUGUCAACCAAUGGUGUGGCGUGAUUAUAUAUUGAAUAUCAUAUUUUUCGGAGCAGCAGUUUUAAGUCCCCUAUAUUUUUGCCUUAUACAUGAAUUUGUGGAUAAAUUAUGGAGUUGUACAUAUAAAACUAUAAAAUUUAAACAUUGAUACAUAUCAAUAAAAUACUCUUGCAAUGAAGUUUCGUUAGCAAAAUAAACAUGAAUUCAUAGAA